rnacentral:misc_RNA from 1 species
CAGCAAGACUGGAAAUAUUGAGCACUGAACACCUACCUAGCACUGAAACUUCAGCUUUCUGAAGUCGUAGCAAGUGAAAAUGACAGCAUGUUGGAGAGGAAAAGAUAACCAUAACAAUGCUCGCUAAGCUACUAACCUACUUAUGGUAUUUAUUUUAGUCGGAUAAAGGAUUAUCAGGGUCAAUCUCAUCUAUUAAAGACCCAUGCCUGUCUCUCAAGCUCUCUUCAUUGAAUUUCUGAGAGCUCUUUUGUUCCAG